rnacentral:rRNA from 1 species
GUCCACGCUGUAAAACGAUGGUUACUGGGUGUUCGAUCCCGACCUUGUGUCGGGAUGAGUGCCUAAGCGAAAGUGUUAAGUAACCCACCUGGGGAGUACGCCCGCAAGGGUGAAACUCAAAGGAAUUGACGGGGCCCGCACAAGCGGUGGAGCAUGUGGUUUAAUUCGAUGGUACGCGAGGAACCUUACCUGGGCUAGAAUGCCUUUGACAGCCCGUGAAAGCGGGAAUUCCUUCGGGACAAAGUGCAAGGUGCUGCAUGGCUGUCGU